rnacentral:rRNA from 1 species
GGGUUGUGAGGUUAAGCGACUAAGCGUACACGGUGGAUGCCCUGGCAGUCAGAGGCGAUGAAGGGCGUGCUAAUCUGCGAUAAGCGCCGGUAAGGUGAUAUGAACCGUUAUAACCGGCGAUACCCGAAUGGGGAAACCCAGUGUGACUCGUCACACUAUCAUUAACUGAAUCCAUAGGUUAAUGAGGCGAACCGGGGGAACUGAAACAUCUAAGUACCCCGAGGAAAAGAAAUCAACCGAGAUUCCCCCAGUAGCGGCGAGCGAACGGGGAGGAGCCCAGAGCCUGAAUCAGCAUGUGUGUUAGUGGAAGCGUCUGGAAAGGCGCGCGAUACAGGGUGACAGCCCCGUACACAAAAGCGCAUGUGCUGUGAGCUCGAUGAGUAGGGCGGGACACGUGGUAUCCUGUCUGAAUAUGGGGGGACCAUCCUCCAAGGCUAAAUACUCCUGACUGACCGAUAGUGAACCAGUACCGUGAGGGAAAGGCGAAAAGAACCCCGGCGAGGGGAGUGAAAAAGAACCUGAAACCGUGUACGUACAAGCAGUGGGAGCACCCUUUGGGUGUGACUGCGUACCUUUUGUAUAAUGGGUCAGCGACUUAUAUUCUGUAGCAAGGUUAACCGAAUAGGGGAGCCGGAGGGAAACCGAGUCUUAAUUGGGCGUUAAGUUGCAGGGUAUAGACCCGAAACCCGGUGAUCUAGCCAUGGGCAGGUUGAAGGUUGGGUAACACUAACUGGAGGACCGAACCGACUAAUGUUGAAAAAUUAGCGGAUGACCUGUGGCUGGGGGUGAAAGGCCAAUCAAACCGGGAGAUAGCUGGUUCUCCCCGAAAGCUAUUUAGGUAGCGCCUCGUGAAUUCAUCUCCGGGGGUAGAGCACUGUUUCGGCUAGGGGGCCAUCCCGGCUUACCAACCCGAUGCAAACUGCGAAUACCGGAGAAUGUUAUCACGGGAGACACACGGCGGGUGCUAACGUCCGUCGUGAAGAGGGAAACAACCCAGACCGCCAGCUAAGGUCCCAAAGUCAUGGUUAAGUGGGAAACGAUGUGGGAAGGCCCAGACAGCCAGGAUGUUGGCUUAGAAGCAGCCAUCAUUUAAAGAAAGCGUAAUAGCUCACUGGUCGAGUCGGCCUGCGCGGAAGAUGUAACGGGGCUAAACCAUGCACCGAAGCUGCGGCAGCGACGCUUAUGCGUUGUUGGGUAGGGGAGCGUUCUGUAAGCCUGCGAAGGUGGCCUGUGAGGGUUGCUGGAGGUAUCAGAAGUGCGAAUGCUGACAUAAGUAACGAUAAAGCGGGUGAAAAGCCCGCUCGCCGGAAGACCAAGGGUUCCUGUCCAACGUUAAUCGGGGCAGGGUGAGUCGACCCCUAAGGCGAGGCCGAAAGGCGUAGUCGAUGGGAAACGGGUUAAUAUUCCCGUACUUGGUGUUACUGCGAAGGGGGGACGGAGAAGGCUAUGUUGGCCGGGCGACGGUUGUCCCGGUUUAAGCGUGUAGGUGUGUGUUCCAGGUAAAUCCGG